rnacentral:rRNA from 1 species
AGUGAACGCUGGCGGUAGGCCUAACACAUGCAAGUCGAACGGCAGCACAGUAAGAGCUUGCUCUUACGGGUGGCGAGUGGCGGACGGGUGAGGAAUACAUCGGAAUCUACUUUUUCGUGGGGGAUAACGUAGGGAAACUUAAGCUAAUACCGCAUACGACCUACGGGGGAAACCAGGGGAUCUUCGGACCUUGCGCGAUUCAAUGAGCCGAUGUCGGAUUAGCUCGUUGGCGGGGUAAAGGCCCACCAAGGCGACGAUACGUAGCGGAUCUGAGAGGAUGAUCAGCCACACUGGAACUGAGACACGGUCCAGACUCCUACGGGAGGCACCGGUGGGGAAUGUUGGACAUGGGGCGAAAGCCUGAUCCAGCCAUACCGCGCGGGUGAAGAAGGCCUUCGCGUUGUAAAGCCCCUUUGUUGGGAAAGAAAAGCAUGAGGUUAAUCCCCCGCUGUUCUGACGGUACCCAAAGAAUAAGCGCCGGCUAACUUCGUG